GAUGCCGCACGCCGCGUGAGGGAAGACGGCCUUCGGGUUGUAAACCUCUUUUAGCAGGGAAGAAGCGAGAGUGACGGUACCUGCAGAAAAAGCGCCGGCUAACUACGUGCCAGCAGCCGCG
rnacentral:rRNA from 1 species